CUAGUAACUGCGAGUGAAGAGGGAAAAGCUCAAAUUUAAAUCUGGCAGCUUCGCUGUCCGAGUUGUAAUUUAGAGAAGUGUUACCCGCGUUGGACCGUGUACAAGUCUCCUGGAACGGAGCGUCAUAGAGGGUGAGAAUCCCGUCUUUGACACGGACUACCAAGGCUUUGUGGUACGCUCUCGAAGAGUCGAGUUGUUUGGGAAUGCAGCUCUAAAUGGGUGGUAAAUUCCAUCUAAAGCUAAAUAUUGGCGAGAGACCGAUAGCAAACAAGUACCGUGAGGGAAAGAUGAAAAGAACUUUGGAAAGAGAGUUAAACAGUACGUGAAAUUGUUGAAAGGGAAACGCUUAAAGUCCAGUCGCGUUGGUUAGGAAUCAGCCUUGGUUUUCCUUGGUGUACUUCCUAAUCGACGGGUCAACAUCAGUUUUGACCGUUGGAUAAAGGUUGAGGGAAUGUGGCACCUUCGGGUGUGUUAUAGCCCUUGAUUGUAUACAGCGGUUGGGACUGAGGAACUCAGCACGCCGAAAGGCCGGGUCUUGUACCACGUUCGUGCUUAGGAUGU
rnacentral:rRNA from 1 species